rnacentral:rRNA from 1 species
AUUGAACGCUGGCGGCAGGCCUAACACAUGCAAGUCGAGCGGAUGAAGGGAGCUUGCUCCUGGAUUCAGCGGCGGACGGGUGAGUAAUGCCUAGGAAUCUGCCUGGUAGUGGGGGAUAACGUCCGGAAACGGGCGCCAAUACCGCAUACGUCCUGAGGGAGAAAGUGGGGGAUCUUCGGACCUCACGCUAUCAGAUGAGCCUAGGUCGGAUUAGCUAGUUGGUGGGGUAAAGGCCUACCAAGGCGACGAUCCGUAACUGGUCUGAGAGGAUGAUCAGUCACACUGGAACUGAGACAUGGUCCAGACUCCUACGGGAGGCAGCAGUGGGGAAUAUUGGACAAUGGGCGAAAGCCUGAUCCAGCCAUGCCGCGUGUGUGAAGAAGGUCUUCGGAUUGUAAAGCACUUUAAGUUGGGAGGAAGGGCAGUAAGUUAAUACCUUGCUGUUUUGACGUUACCAACAGAAUAAGCACCGGCUAACUUCGUG